AUUGAACGCUGGCGGAAUGCUUUACACAUGCAAGUCGAACGGUAGAGGGGGCAACCCCUCGAGAGUGGCGAACGGGUGAGUAAUAUAUCGGAACGUGCCCAGUCGUGGGGGAUAACGUAGCGAAAGUUACGCUAAUACCGCAUACGAUCUACGGAUGAAAGCGGGGGAUCGCAAGACCUCGCGCGAUUGGAGCGGCCGAUAUCAGAUUAGGUAGUUGGUGGGGUAAAGGCUCACCAAGCCAACGAUCUGUAGCUGGUCUGAGAGGACGACCAGCCACACUGGAACUGAGACACGGUCCAGACUCCUACGGGAGGCAGCAGUGGGGAAUUUUGGGACAAUGGACGCAAGUCUGAUCCAGCCAUUCCGCGUGCAGGAUGAAGGCCCUCGGGUUGUAAACUGCUUUUGUACGGAACGAAAAGGUUUCUAUUAUACUAGGAGCUCAUGACGGUACCGUAAGAUAAGCACCGGCUAACUACGUG
rnacentral:rRNA from 1 species